UGCAGGGAUCCAGGGGCAGCCUCAGCUUCCCUGUGCAGUGUGCUCUAAUAUCUCUCCACUGGCAUCCUGAAAAAUGUUGUCAGCGUGUUUUGUUGGACGACGGUAAGCGGGACCUGGGUGAAAAGGACAUUCUCUGAGGUGCUGGGAGAAGGAGGGCUCGUGCGGGCACCUCCAGAGACAGUGGGAACGGGAGCGUGCUGCAGAGAAGGAAAAUUCCAGGGGAAUUGCCACGAGAGGAAAUACUUCAGAGGGGCUUCCCUCCAGAUAAGCCCUGAAUGUGCCAGGAGGUUUCAGCCGGGAGAAAGGAGCUGUGGAAGAAAAGCAGCCUAAAAAUAGCCAGCGGGGAUCAUCAGGUUUUCCAGCCAAGAAAAACCAGGAGGGAGAUGAGGGAAUCGGGUUCCAAUUCCUAAAGAUUUGGUGGGUGUAGGAAUGAUUUCUGUGUGUUUUCCAGUCCCUUUUGAUUCCUGGGAUGAUUUUAAAAUGAUGGCUAAAUUGGAGAUGUUGUUUUUGAGAGGAAAUGAUGCCAAAUAAAUGCAAAGUUUGGGGUCAGUUUU